GACCCGGAGCAGAGGGGCCCCGCGGACGGCCGGAGUCCGAGGCGCGGCCAUUUCUUCCACGGCUCCCGGGUGCCCCUUAGGUCUGGGUAUCGGGUGGCCUGUGGAUCUGAGAGCUAGAAGGGAGGGGUGCGGGUGCCUGACACGAGCGGGUGAAAGGCCUGAGGUGCCUCACGUGAGAGGUGCGGGUGCCUGACACGAGCGGGUGAAAGGCCUGAGGUGAGGGGUGCAGGUGCCUGGUGUGAGAGGUGCGGGUGCCUGACACGAGCAGGUGAAAGACCUGAGACAUGUAGAAAUUGAGAUGCUGCUAUUCCACCAGGGAUCCGUGAGCACCACAGUAGCAAGCUGAGACGCUCCAUCAACACUUGGCGCGGACAAUGCCUGCUCCCCACCCAGGAACAGCAAGUCCAGGUGUAUGGUUUGGUCCUCAGCAUUUGUGCAUGAUUAAUUUCUAUCUUCAGUGCAUAGAAAGAGACACACAGGAAUCUCUGACACGAGCAACCUGCGGCAGAAAUUUCUUCAGACCCUAAUUAUUAAAAUCUUAGAAUUCCUAAAGCGGGAGUGAUCUUAUGACAUUAUAUUAUAUCCAUAACAAGCAAUACAAAACACAUGGUCUAACCAGCGGGACGCUGGUGGUAUCUCGAGCCGGAGCCGAUAUCAGCGCAAGAGCUUUGGUUCCAGAAACUGCUUCCAGACACUCUACUAGACUAUCAACUAAACCAGAGCCCCACGCCGGCUGAUGACGGGAAAUAACCAUCCUCUUCGGUUUUUUCCCUUUGUCAGACAGCAUGGCGAUUACUAAACAGGCGUGAACUCGGUGGCGCGGGGCAAGGGGGAAAAAGAAAAGUUAUGUAACAAACAGCAGGACUUAAUAUCUCUAUAUGCUUAGUAAUGGAGAAUUAUCAUUGGCAAUAGGACUGUCUUUUUCUUUUUGGGGGGAAACCCCAGCAACGGUAGUGAGUUGUGUGUUGAAACAUGGAAUGUAAUCGAGAUAAGCGCAAAUGAAGUGAAACUUAUCACGUA